UACGUAGGGUGCGAGCGUUAAUCGGAAUUACUGGGCGUAAAGCGUGCGCAGGCGGUGAUGUAAGACAGAUGUGAAAUCCCCGGGCUCAACCUGGGAACUGCAUUUGUGACUGCAUCGCUGGAGUGCGGCAGAGGGGGAUGGAAUUCCGCGUGUAGCAGUGAAAUGCGUAGAGAUCGUAAGGAAGGCCAGUGGCGAAGGCGAGUUCCUGGACAGUUACUGACGCUGAGGCACGAAGGCCAGGGGAGCAAACGGG
rnacentral:rRNA from 1 species